rnacentral:lncRNA from 1 species
AAAAAUCCAAGAGGUGCAAAAGGAAUUGGGGGGUUGUAACGGGGUCCAAAUGACCCAAAACUCUCAACACACACCAACGAGAGGUGUGUGGAGAAUAAAUGGAGGGUGUUACAAGGCCCAAUUGACCCAAAGUUAGACAACCCUAAUUAAUCUUUUAAAAUAAACUAAAAUGAUAAUUACAAAAAAAAAAACCAAGAUUUAUAAACCAAAAAAGAAAAAAGAAAAAGAAAAAGAAAAAAUACUAAUACAACAAAUGUGAACACAAUCAUCUUCUUCUCCAAACAUACCUCCACCAUUUUCUUCUUUCAUGGUUAAAACAUAACAACUCUUUUUCUCUCAAAUUAAAUCAAC